AUACGUAGGGUGCGAGCGUUAAUCGGAAUUACUGGGCGUAAAGCGUGCGCAGGCGGUCUUGUAAGACAGUCGUGAAAUCCCUGGGCUUAACCUAGGAACUGCGAUUGUGACUGCAAGGCUAGAGUGUGUCAGAGGGGGGUGGAAUUCCACGUGUAGCAGUGAAAUGCGUAGAGAUGUGGAGGAACACCGAUGGCGAAGGCAGCCCCCUGGGAUAACACUGACGCUCAUGCACGAAAGCGUGGGGAGCAAACAGGAUUAGAUACCCUGGUAGUCCACGCCCUAAACGAUGUCAACUGGUUGUUGGGUGGGUAACCACUUAGUAACGAAGCUAACGCGUGAAGUUGACCGCCUGGGGAGUACGGUCGCAAGAUUAAA
rnacentral:rRNA from 1 species